UAACAAAAAUAGAGGACGUAUUCAUCCCUGGUACAGAAAACAGGUUUUAAAAUAAAGGCAUUUUGGAAAGAGGGUGUAACUUAUCUUCAUUGGAGUUGUUUAGAAUUUCAUGAGGCCUGAUGAAUGCUAGUCAGCUUUUAGGAUUAGAAGUUUUUAUUGCAGUAAUUUUUUUUCCCAAUUGUGGUAGUAAAAUGGCCUUCUAGUUGCUUUUUUAGAAUUCAUAGUCUUAGAACCUAAGUCUUGUUAAAACAGCAAAAUUCUCACAAGAUGUAAUAUCUUUAAGAAAAAAUAAAAUAUGGUACAUCCUAUUCAAAAGGUUUCUGAUGACGUAUUCUCUUUGAGAUUGUCUUUUCAAACUUUAGAAAAAGCAAACCCGUUUCCCUAAGAUAUUAUACAAUGUUAUAGGAUGAAAAUUGACAUUUUCAAGAACAGUUUUAUAUUUUGACUUCCAUUUUUCAUUUUAAAUCUGAGUUAAUUGAUAGUAUCCAAAAUAAUACCCAAAUAUCCCAAUGAAGUAGGCUGUGCUGAUUUGGGGAAAAUAUUUAAUUAAAAGUCAUAAAAGCUAACCAUUUUCAUUUCUAAUAAGAACUGUGAUAUAACUUAUGAAAGCCCAACUUAAGGAGAUAAUCAGUUGUAUUUUUUCAUAUCAAAUUCAAUGUUAUUUAUAUUUUGUGUAAAUCUUAUUGCCAGUAGUAUGGAUUGAGCCUAAGUCUGUUUGAGAGUGAGAAGUUAUUAAAACUUACAUGUGAAACUUAAAUACUUUAUAAAAACAGACCAAGUUGCCAUUCAUUCUUGAGUGUAUGUUUGUGGGGGUGUGUUUAGACCUUUCCACUGGGGAAGACUCAACUAGGUAGGUUACUAAUGUAUCUCCCGACCUUUCCCCUGUCCCCUGUCUUGCCUCCCUGGCUGGGGAGCUUGCUCAGAAGUAAGCUGUGUUGCUGUCCACCUGGGUGUCCUGUGCAUAUGUGCUUUCCUUUGUGCCCCACUGCUGGCCUUUCCUGUGUCUGGUCCUGGAAAAUGAAACCUUGAUGAGAUGGAAACUGAAUGAGGUUCCCAUAGAAGUGAAGCAUUUCCUUGCUCAGUACAGAAUCUGCUUGCCAACAUAAAAUCUACAUAAGGAAAAUGUGUGGGAGCUGUUCCCAUUUCAUUAAGGUACAGCGCUGUGUGUGAUUCCAUGUGUGUGUGUGGUUAUAAAUGAAUAUUGACUUAGAAAGGGUUCAUACGGUUUGUAUAAAGCUUAGAACAGUGAUUUGAUUCAAAGUCGAUUUGAAUGCUAGGAGAGUGUAAUUGGACGUUAUUCUUAACACACACAAUUCCAGAAACAGACAACAAGCAUGGUAUGUUUUAGUGAGGGUGUUUGGCUAGCUUUUCUGCAGCACUAGUGAGUUACCAUAUUAUUUUGGGAAUUAAGGUCAAGCAGUCAGAGUGUUCAUUUGAUAUUUGCUCAAGGUGUUUAUUGACCCAGAAUUUCAUUCUUUAUUAGUUUCUCUGUUUUUGAUUGCUCAGGAUAUUGCAUUUUCUUGCUUAUAAAUGUGAUUUCACGAUUAAAAACACUUCUGUACAUUUGUAUUUAUAUAUCAGGAAAAUUUGUAAGCUUAGCAGUUGAAGGUGAAAAAAAGAAUCUAUGAAAGUUUUAGUGCAGUGUUAAACUUUUGAGACAUCUUUUUUUGAAUUAACUUAUUUAUUUUCAUUGGAGGCUAAUUACUUUACAAUAUUGUGGUGGUUCUUGCUAUACAUUGACAUGAAUCAGCCAUGGGUGUACAUGUGACAUCUUGUUUUAUAAUACAAAGUAUACAUUCCUACCCAGAUCAACUUUGGAUGUGCAAUUUAAAUAGAUGAAUAAGAUGUGCUGUUUAAACUUGACAUAAGUUAACUUGCCAGUGGAACAUGCGUGCCUUGGUCAACUUCUGUGGACACAAAAAGGACUUGCUUUCUGAAGAUAGACUUUUACUUGGCCAGUAUAGAUAUGCCUCUUAUUAAGUAUGUUGAAAUGGCACGUGGCCUGAGGAGUCGGGUUUAUGUUUACACUUAGCUGCUGAAGAGAAAGUUUAACCUACAUCUCAAGAUAAGGAGUAAUAGGAUGGUGUUGAGGCAGGGGUGACUCAGUCUUGUAUCAGUACAAGGCAUGCCCAGAAUGUACUGGAAGAACUGAAUUGUCUUCCAAAUGUGCUUAGCCUAUCAUGGACCUAUGUUAGUCUGGUCCACAGUGUUGCACUUAACGUUAUUGCAACUUUUAGUCUUGACUUACUUGUUACUGGGUGGCAGAAAUUAUUUUAUGUCUCCUGCACAUUUUGUGGUUGAUGAGAUUUAAAAGUAUUAUUGAAAAUAAGCAUGUAAUCAAUAUAAGAAUUGUGCUUUUCAUAUAAUGUUGUAAUUUUACUAAUCUUAACUGUUGAUAGAAUCAAGAAAGCAAUACUUUCUAAAGUAAAGUUCAAUACUGGACUAAAGAUGAAGCGUGUUAUCAUCACACAACUGCUAAAUGAUAGAACCAGGACUUGAGCCCAGGUGUUCUGAGUCUGGAGCCCAUGUCUUUAAACAUGAGACCUAAAGCUGACACAAAUUCAUUUCCAUAACCAUUGAAUAUUGUAUUCUAUAACUUAUGCUUGCUUACAUUUAUUGUUUUAUGCCAUGCAUGCUCAUUUUCUGAACAGUGAAUAAUAUUUGGUUGAUAGUGUAGAUAUUACUUGUGUUUUUGAAUCUGUCUGUAAAGAACCUUUCUCCAGGGGAUCUUCCCAACCCAGGGAUCAAACCCAGGUCUCCUGCAUUAUAGGUGGAAUCUUUACCAACUGAGCCACAAGAGAAGCCCAUGAAUACUGUAGUGGGUAGCCUAUCCCUCCUCCAGCUUAUCUUCCCAACCCAGGAAUCGAACCAGGGCCUCCUGCAUUGCAGGCAGAUUCUUUACCAACUGAGCUAUCAGGGAAGCCCAAUAGCGACUUACAGAUGUUUCCUUGUACUGUCCUGUUUUGGUGCAUGUAUCCUCUUUUUUUCUGCAUUGCUAUAAAGAAAUUAAAAUAUUUUUUCUAGUCAUUGAAAUCUGUUGGUUGUCUAGCUUUCUAAAACAGGAGUAGCAAAGUUAAAUUCUUUUUGUUUCAGUAGUAUCUCUUGACAAUAAUUGUGCUGUGUUUAAAAUUCAUAUUUCCUUUUGUAUGUUAAAAAUGUAAUUUACUUUUGACAGUGUCUUUCAUCUCUAUUCUUCCCUUUUAUGGAAAGGGCAAUGAGAAAUUGUGAUUAGAAAAACAAAACAAAAUUUAAGAUGGUCAACGGCAGCUAUUAUUUUCUUUUUAAUAGGUACUCUUGGGGAAAAUGGUGGGCAAAAACUCUUUCCUAUUCACACAAAAUAACAAGGGUUGACUCUUGGGUGUCAGGGAUGGGAGCUGUAAAAAGAAAAUUGAUAUGGCCUAAAUGUGUCAUUUAGUGUUGUGCUUUCUCAGUCUUGCUAAGUUCAAAGAAAAUAUCGGUUUCUAUAUAUAUUAGUGUUUGCAUGGCAGUCACAAGAGAAAACAAAGGAAAACCAUUUGAACUUUCUUCAGAGUAUGAAAUCAAAACACUGAUUUUAAAGAUCUGUGCAAACUUGGACUGUCCUCAUACAGGGAGGUAUAUCAGAAAAGUAUAGACUUAGAGCAGACAUCCUUGACUCAGAAGUCCUGGCUGUGUCAUUUCCUCUCAGUGUGUGUUAGUGGGCAAAUCAGUGUCUCUGAACUUUGAUAAUAAAUACAAGCACUCUAUUGACCACUCAUGGUUUUGCUGAGAAUAAAACAAUGUUAUGUGUAUGAGCUAAUUUUUGAUCCAUUUACUAUUGUAAUAGGUAAUUUUUUCCCAUUGCUGUUAUUAUUUUGCGAGCAUCUAGCUAUCAUAUAGGACAGUGCUUCCCAGACUUUUCACAUUGCGAUGUAUUCAAACAAUGAGAACGCUUGCAUGGCCUACCAUGGUGAGUGGACAGGCUAUUGUGGUGGGAGGAAACCAGCAGCAGGGGCUCUGAUCACUUCAGGCCCUACCCUAUUGACCUGUGACCUGAAGUGAAGGAGCAGCUUGUCACACCUGUAAACUAUUAAGGGCAAAUCAGUGCACUAAGGUGUGUUGGUCAGAAGGCUCUGGAAUCAGGAAACAAAGAAAAACAAAACUUGCGUAUAUAGUUUUUGACACCAGAACUCUUGGAAAAAAAAUUUUUUUGGUUGGGUAUAAUCUCCUGACCCUCAGCUUUCACUGGUCCAACUCUGUGGAGUUACCAGACGCCAAUGAAUUUGCCUAUAUGAGAAGAAGGGCGGUAAGAGAGCUGGUCUUUCUCUUUCUCAAAUAUUGGUUUCAUGUUCCUAGCAUGUCUGUCAGCACUAAUAAGAAUUAAUAUUUAUGGCACACCAAAAAUGUCUAGACGUGGCACCAGAACCGUCUCAUGGGAUGGUCUAGCUCACUGAGCUCAUCGUCUGAAUGAUACAGUGAGAUGUCAGAGCUCUCGCAGGACAAAGCCCCGCCCCAGCAGCACUCUGUUCCAAUAGGCUUAUCACCAGAGCACACAGAGCCUUUGUUCUCUGGCUGCGCGGGGUGGGAAUUCUUAGACCCUUGUUACCACAGACGUGCCUGUGAAGAUCCAUUUGAAUUCUUCCCUAGAGUGGUUCCCAAGCACUGUUCUACAAACUGGCUGUGUCAGAAUCCCUAGAGAGAGUUGUUCACCAAACAGAGUUAUAGACCCUACUCGAGCCCUACUCUGUCAGAGAGUUGAGGGGUCAGGUCUGGGGAUCCAGGUAGAAAAGGAGCAGUGUGUUCUAUCUGGAGCUUCCUGGACCAGGCACAAGACAGGGCUUUCCCUUGAGACACACCCCCGCUGGAGGUAUGUGGACUGCACCCUCUCUUUUGGGGCAGUUAAGGCGCCAGGUUAUUGAACAGGGUAGAUGUUGCCUACUCGGAGUAGGUCAGCAGGCAGUCUGAGGUAUCAACGAGCAUCUUAUAGGUACUGACCUGGCGACUGGCUGGCCAUGUCUGUCAGUGCCUGUCACACAGCUCUUAAGUGAAGGUGCUAGAAGUCAAACCUAGUCCUGUCUGGGGCCAGUGUCGGAGGUCUCUGUCUCUGCACUGUGUUGCCUGCUAAUUCCCAACUAAGCGGCUCCAGCCACUCCUUCCCACCUGUUUACUGUGUUGGUUUCUCUUUGUUUAUUGUGACAUAGCUGUUCCAUUUGGUGACCGAAGCUCUUGCCAGGGCAGUGUUUAUGCUGGGACUCUUCCUUCCCUUUCAUGGUGAGUGAGCUGGAGUUUGUUAGCCGGCCAGUGUUCAGAAGUCAGGGUCCAGGAGUUAUUUCCCUUUAGAAUUUUUUUAACUUGGUAUCAAAGUGAUUGAGUCUUGGGAAGUUAUUCCUCAGGUGAUCCCAUUAGGCCAGAACCUGGUUUAAAUGGAUAACAGGAGGCAAUGAUGACAGCUGAAACGUUUAAAGCAACAACACAUUUUGGGAAAGAAGACCAGAAAAAUGAGAGCGAUCCUGGUAACUGCUUAUAUUAGUAUUCUUGAUUAAUGUCUGCUUUUUAAAACAUCAGAUUGCUAAUGCAUCUCUGAUCACUGCAGCAGUCAUAACCAAUUAGUUGUGUUUAUGUAAUAUUUAAGACUGCAUGGGUAGGGCUGGCCGAAAUGUCACUUUCUUCCAUGGAGGGAGUCAAGAUUGCAUGCCUCGCUGCUUCUCCAGGCCUGGUCUCUGCAAAACACACUUCCCAGCAUGAGCAGCUCACAGCCCCACACUGAGGCAGCUCUCCGGGCGACUCAGAGUCGAUUCAGCUGUGGACUCGAAAGGGCCCCCAAGAAACUGCCCAUGACAGCCUUCUCCGAAGCCAGGCUGCCUCUUUGCUUCCACACCUCAGAAGCAAAGCGGAUAGCAGGCUCAUACCCAGCAAGCCUCAGCUGUUCUGUAGGCCUGUUGUGUUUGGCCUCUGUAGUGUUUGUGAAAACCUUCACUUGGAAGCCAGAUUGGAAUAGAGCAGCUUUAAAUAAAGAACUGGGUUUUUGUAGCUGUUGUUAUUUGGUUUCUCUGAAAAAUGUAAAGAACGGCAGGAAUUGAUUGAGGCUAAGUCGUGGCUUCUCUCCGGACAUCCCAGGUGGCUCAGUGGAUAAAGAAUCCACCUGUCAAUGCAGGAGAUGCAAGAGAUGCAGUUUCCAUCCCUGUGUCGGGAAGAUCCUCUGGAAGAGGAAAUGGCUCCACUCCAGUAUUUUUGCCUGGAAAAUACCACGGGUAGAGAUGCCUGGCGGGCUGUGCAGUCCAUGGGGCUGCAGAGUCAGACACGACCGAGCACGCACGCCCAUGCAGCUGUUCUCCAGCUGGCUGGAGCAUCCGUCCCUCACCUCCUUCUCCUAUAGUAUCUGUGGCCCGCCUGCUGCAGGCAGUGUGUGGCUGUACUUUCCUAUCACCGCCAUGUUACCCCUCCACCUGCCUGUUAGCAGAUGGACGAGCUGGACAAGCGGCCAUUCUGACCAAUUGGAAAGGGUUCACUUAUCAUUGCAUCACUAUUUUGUAAACAGGAACUUGAGAUCUACGCAUUCCUGAGUGUUUUUAGAGAAAUGUAUCGAGCACAAGCAAUGGCAUGUAGUGGCCACUUGGCAAACAUCUGCUGACUGACUGAAUCUUUGACUAGAGGCCCAGGGGUUUGGGGACCCAGAGUCCUGUGUUUGGCUGGAAAAAGAGACAUCAGGGGCAGUUUGGGAAUAUUACUGGUACUCUGUAGACCUAUGCAGAGCAGGGAAGCCAGCUAGCGAUUUUUCACUUUCCAUGACAUACAGGACUUGAUCUUGUGUUGGGACUCUUUGACCACUUUAUACUGAAGCCUAUUUGGAGACAUUAAACUUUAGUGACUUGGUAAAAUUUCAGUAAAUUUUCUUCUCAACUAAGCAAAAAGCCCUUUUGGGUUUGGUUGGGUGUGACUGUCUCUCUCACCUGACACUGCCUGUUUCUCCCAGUGGGGCUGUUAAACAGGACUGCCUCCCAUGUCUCUGCUGCCUCUGUGCCCCAGAGCCCUUUGAUAUCAACCAUGAACACUCAUUUUGUUCCUCGCACCUGGGCUCUGCCCUACCAGACCCAAACCAAGUUCUCAAUGGUCCUAUCACAGUGGUUUGGGACUAAGGUUUCACAGAUUGCCUGGGUUGAAAUCCUGAUUCAUCCUGUGGCCCUGCAAGUUAUCUAUCAUUUCUAUAUCUUAAUUUUCUCAUCUGCAAAAGGGGUAUGGUAUCAUUGUCAGAACUGUGCUGGGCACAUUGGGAGUGCUCAGUGAGGGACAGCCGCAUUUGUGUCUGUCUGAAAUUUUGAGAACGUAGCCACUAAGAACUUUUUUGUGAUUUAGUUUCAUCUUACCCGCAUUGAAUCCUUGGAGCAUUGCGGAGUGCUUUUGUCACCAGAUUAUAAGAGUUUUGUAUACUUUUUUUUCCCCCUUAAUGUGCGGUCAAGUUUGAUUUGAUAAAACAAGAUACACAUAAAAGGGGUCUAUUACUUCCUGGGUUAUAAAAGGCAGACGAGGCCUAUGUAAGGGAAGGUCAUUAUCUUCCCAUAGUAAUUACUAUGCUAUAAAGCUCAACACACUCUCACACCUUUUACUGAGGGAAAACAAGACUGGUUUCUGUGUAAAGCUCCUUGUGGUAAAGGCCAGCUUUGGAAUGUGGUGUGAUGUCACUGCUGAUUGGCCCUGGAGGUCUGGGUUUCAUUUGUGUUAUUAGAAUACCUCAAUUUAUCUGUGUUCCACAGGGGAUCACAGCGCUUUUCAGGGCUUUGGAAAGUUCUGAAAUGAAAGCACACUUCUGGGCUAAGACAUGACUGUCCCAAACACUGGCAGUUCUCACAAGGCUAACAGUGUCUGUUGACCUUAAGGAAUGAUUUUUUUUUCCUUAGCUAUCAAGCCACAGGAUUUUUAAACUGGUUUUAUGACCAACUCUCCCUCUAGUCCACCCCCUUACUUACUUUGGACAGAAACUCGAUUUCAGGGACAGAGUUGUAAAGUAAAUGUUUGUGUUGGGGCCUUUUCUUUCCAAUUCCUCACAGAUUCCUUUCAGGUCUGCAAGAGAAGGCAAAUUCUGUCGGUUAUAUUUGAUUCCCAAAGUGGCUUUUGAACCCCAAGUCGUAUGUGUCCUACUGAAACAAAAGACUUCCAUUAAAAAACAAACAAACAAACAAAAAAAAAACAGUAGAUGCCUUGCAGAUUAUAAGAGGAAUGUCCUGUGGUGGAUAAAAGAGAUGGGAGGGAGGUGUGGAAGGAAGUCUUUGAGAAUCAGAAUUGAAGGUGUCCCUGCCAAUUAGGUCCAUGACCUUGACUUGUUCUUAGCUGUUGGUGUCUUCCUCUGUGAAGCUGAGAAUCACAAGUACACCCUCACACAGUGCGGGAGGACCAGUGCUGGGCCUGCCCAUAGUUUUUUAAGCACUCAGUACACUCAGUAAGUAAUAUGUUACCACGAUUACCAUUACUAUUACCAUGCCUUGCUCUAGACUGAACUCCACUUAUUCAAUUAUUAGAUCUCGUGUCACCAAAACAUUUCGUAAAUACUUUUUUUUUUUUUUUCCUGGUAGAAAUAUUUGAAUGAGCCCUCUCUUUGUUUAUGGAUCACCAAACCUCUUGAUCUAAUCACCAUCUGCUUAUAUGUGGAGAAACACAGUCACCGACAUGACUGAUACUAUAUAUUUUUAACUCCUGGUAGACCAUCAGUCACCACAUGUUUACUGACUGCCUACUCUGUGCCAGGUAGAAGUGAGUUCUGGGGAUAUAAGAGAAAGCUUCUGCCCUGAAAGAGCUUGUAUUGUUGUGGUAACAUUACUCGUAUUUAUGCCACAUUCAUUCUACAUAGUACCUGGCAUACAGGAAGUACUCAAUAAAUGUUGGUGGCGGGGAGAGGGAAGGGGUGGUGAAUCGAGUACAACUUACUGAAAUAUAAAUCCGGUUUAACAAUCUUCAUCCAUCUGGUUGGGUAGAAAAAUAGGUCUUGCUGAUUACUAUCGUCUGUCUGGCUGUUUGACGAAACUCUUCACUGUGAUACGUAUAGGUCUUUACGUGUGCUGCUUGUAUAUGUAAAGAAAUGUGUAAAAGGAGAACUAGCAGAAAUACAAACCAAGGCUGGCAUACUUGUUCUUGAACCUGACCAGAUUUUGCAAGUUUGUCAAGAGCUCUUCCUUUAAUGAACACAGAGCCCCCAGUCUGCCUGCGCACCAGCAGCCUCCCCUUGUACACCUGCAAAUCAAGAAGAAAGAGAGCAGGUGAAGGAGGUGGGAAGGACGCAGCAGGCCAAGUCCUGUUAGUGCUUGGCCUUGUAUAGAAUGCUUCACCUUUUUAGAAUCACCUUUUAUCUCUGAAGUAGAUGCUGUUCACCACUGCACUCCACCUCCAGUUGGUCUUGUAGCAAGGUGAUGUAAAAGUCAAAGUUGAGAAUCUUAUGCAAAUGCUUCCAUUUAAAUUAAUUUAUGAAGCUUGAUGUUUUAGGGUUGGUUAAGGUGCCUUAGAGAUUUUAAUGCAUCCUAAUUCCUCUCUUCCCCUCUCCCUCCCUCUUUGUGUUUCCUUUUUCUUUCAUCCAUUCACUUUGGACAUCACUUUUGUCAUUUUUUGAGUGAUGUUUAUUGCGGGGCAGUAUAGCAAAGUGAUUCAUAAUGUAGACUUCCAGGUCCUUGCAUGGGGACUUCCCUAAUGGUCCUGUAGUUAAAAAUUCACCUUCCACUGCAAGGGACACAAGUUCAGUCCCUGGAGAGGAAAGUGAGAUCCCACAUGCUGAAGAGCAACUAAGCCCAUACGAUACAGCUAGAGAAAUCUGGUGCGCCACAAUGAAAACCUAGCACAGCCAAUACAAAAAUCCUUCUGUAAAUGCUUCCCCAUACCUUCUAUUGACUUCAGAAUUUUGGGUCUAGCAGAAUAUCCACCAGUCUACCAAGCCUUCUCCACUUCUACCGAUCAGUUCUGAAUGAUUUUCACUGUGCUUAUUUUUUGGUUUGUUUUGUGAUUAUAUUUAUAACCAAAUCAUAUAAACAAUCAACAAAAGAAAACAUUCAAGUAUUUUAGAAGACAGUAAAUUCAGGCUUAAAGUACUCCAUUGACCUCAGUACAGUGUUCAAGGUUUAUACAAAAUGACACAUAACCCAUUCUACUAUGUUGGAGCAGAGUUAUUUAAAUACAGUUUAUCUUAGGCUAACCUCCUAUCUCUCGCUGUAGCCUGUUCUCCUGGAGAAUGGGGAACUCAUUCUUUAGACUUCUUUCACUUUCCAGAAUGUAUUCAUCAUGAUGUAAUGUAGCAGUUACUUCUUAAUAUACUCAAGAAUAGAGCAGUGAUGUCUUAUCUUAAUCUUUAUAUGGCAUAGAUUUUUGAACAUGAAAGUGAAAGUGUUAGUCGCUCAGUCGUGUUCGACUCUUUACAACCACAUGGACUGUAGCCCACCAGGCUCCUCUGUCUGUGGAAUUCUCCAGGCAAGAAUACUGGAGUGGAUUGCCAUUUCCUUCUCUAGGGCAUCUUCCCAACCCAGGGAUCAAACCUGGGUCUCCCACAUUGCAGGCAGAUUCUUAACUGUCUGAGCCACCAGGGAAGCCAUGAUAGGCUUUGAAAUACAAGUGAUCUUGAUAUAUAAUCACUCAUAAAAUUUCAUAAAGC